GACGAACGCUGGCGGCGUGCUUAACACAUGCAAGUCGAACGGAAAGGCCCUGCUUUUGUGGGGUGCUCGAGUGGCGAACGGGUGAGUAACACGUGAGUAACCUGCCCUUGACUUUGUGAUAACUUCAGGAAACUGGGGCUAAUACCGGAUAGGAGCUCCUGCUGCAUGGUGGGGGUUGGAAAGUUUCGGCGGUUGGGGAUGGACUCGCGGCUUAUCAGCUUGUUGGUGGGGUAGUGGCUUACCAAGGCUUUGACGGGUAGCCGGCCUGAGAGGGUGACCGGCCACAUUGGGACUGAGAUACGGCCCAGACUCCUACGGGAGGCAGCAGUGGGGAAUAUUGCACAAUGGGCGGAAGCCUGAUGCAGCAACGCCGCGUGCGGGAUGACGGCCUUCGGGUUGUAAACCGCUUUCGCAUGUGACGAAGCGUGAGUGACGGUAAUGGGUAAAGAAGCACCGGCUAACUACGUG
rnacentral:rRNA from 1 species